ACAACAGGGAUUGCCUCAGUAACGGCGAGUGAAGCGGCAACAGCUCAAAUUUGAAAUCUGGCCCCUUCGGGGUCCGAGUUGUAAUUUGUAGAGAGUGUUUCGGGUGAGACCACGGUCUAAGUCUAUUGGAACAUUACGUCAUAGAGGGUGAGAACCCCGUAUGCGACCGUGGCUCGAGCCCAUGUGAAGCCUCUUCGACGAGUCGAGUUGUUUGGGAAUGCAGCUCAAAAUGGGUGGUAAAUUUCAUCUAAAGCUAAAUACUGGCUGGAGACCGAUAGCGCACAAGUAGAGUGAUCGAAAGAUGAAAAGCACUUUGGAAAGAGAGUCAAACAGUACGUGAAAUUGUUGAAAGGGAAGCGCUGGCAACCAGACCUGUCCGUAGGCGAUCAGCCGCUGUUCUCAGCGGUGCACUCGUUCUGCGAUCAGGCCAGCAUCGGUUUCGGCGGUCGGAUAAAGGCCCGGGGAACGUGGCUCCCYCUCGGGGGAGUGUUAUAGCCCCGGGCGCAAUGCGGCCAGUCGGGACCGAGGACCGCGCUUCGGCUAGGAUGCUGGCGUAAUGGUUGUCAGCGACCCGUCUUGAAACACGGACCAAGGAGUCUAACAUCUAUGCGAGUGUUUGGGUGUCAAACCCAUGCGCGGAAUGAAAGUGAACGGAGGUGAGAACCCUUUAGGGCGCAUCAUCGACCGAUCCAGAUGUCUUCGGAUGGAUUUGAGUAUGAGCAUAGCU
rnacentral:rRNA from 1 species